rnacentral:rRNA from 1 species
UACGUAGGGGGCAAGCGUUGUCCGGAAUCAUUGGGCGUAAAGAGCGUGUAGGCGGCCCGGUAAGUCCGCUGUGAAAGUCCAGGGCUCAACCCUGGGAUGCCGGUGGAUACUGUCGGGCUCGAGUCCGGAAGAGGAGUGUGGAACUCCUGGUGUAGCGGUGAAAUGCGCAGAUAUCAGGAGGAACACCAAUGGCGAAGGCAGCACUCUGGGACGUGACUGACGCUGAGACGCGAAAGCGUGGGGAGCAAACAGG